GGAUGUGAGGGCGACCUGGCUGUGACACCUGCCAUGCCACUGAUUUCCAGGAUUGAUUUGGCUGAUCUGGCUGGCUACGCAGGUGUGCCCUUGCUCUCUCAUGGCUCCAUGUGCGUCCUUCCGAAAGCUGUGCACUCGGCCAAAGACGGCCAUCCCCAACAGAGGAGGACCGGUCUUCAGUCAAGGGUAUAUGAGUAGCUGUGCUCCCCUGCUACAGCCUCCAAACAAGCUCUCAAGAAGUAGGUGGCAGAUUUCCUUUAAAGUAAUUUAACUGAUUAGUAAUUCAACAAGCCAUUAU
ensembl:misc_RNA 7SK 7SK RNA